rnacentral:rRNA from 1 species
CCUACGGGGAGCAGCAGUGGGGAAUAUUGCACAAUGGGGGAAACCCUGAUGCAGCGACGCCGCGUGAGUGAAGAAGUAAUUCGUUAUGUAAAGCUCUGUCAGCAGGGAAGAAAGAAAUGACGGUACCUGACCAAGAAGCCCCGGCUAACUACGUGCCAGCAGCCGCGGAAAUACGUAGGGGGCAAGCGUUAUCCGGAAUUACUGGGUGUAAAGGGAGCGUAGACGGUGAUGCAAGUCUGGAGUGAAAGGCGGGGGCCCAACCCCCGGACUGCUCUGGAAACUGUGUAACUUGAGUGCAGGAGAGGUAAGCGGAAUUCCUAGUGUAGCGGUGAAAUGCGUAGAUAUUAGGAGGAACACCAGUGGCGAAGGCGGCUUACUGGACUGUAACUGACGUUGAGGCUCGAAAGCGUGGGGAGCAAACAGGAUUAGAUACCCUAGUAGUC